GACGAACGCUGGCGGCGUGCUUAACACAUGCAAGUCGAACGGUGAAGCGCCUUCCUUUUUGGUGGGUGUGGAUGAGUGGCGAACGGGUGAGUAACACGUGAGUAACCUGCCCCCUUCUUCUGGAUAACCGCAUGAAAGUGUGGCUAAUACGGGAUAUUCUGGGUCUGUCGCAUCAUGGGUCUGGGAAAGAUAUUGUUUCGGUGGGGGAUGGGCUCGCGGCCUAUCAGCUUGUUGGUGGGGUGAUGGCCUACCAAGGCGGUGACGGGUAGCCGGCCUGAGAGGGUGGACGGUCACACUGGGACUGAGACACGGCCCAGACUCCUACGGGAGGCAGCAGUGGGGAAUAUUGCACAAUGGGCGCAAGCCUGAUGCAGCGACGCCGCGUGAGGGAUGGAGGCCUUCGGGUUGUGAACCUCUUUCGCCAGUGAAGCAGGCCUGCCUCGUUUGUGGGUGGGUUGACGGUAGCUGGAUAAGAAGCGCCGGCUAACUACGUG
rnacentral:rRNA from 1 species